GAUUUCAAUUGAAAAAGUCAUCAACAACAAAGUUGAAUAACUCAUCAAGAUCUAAAACUUUUAUUUUUGUUAUUUCUUCAUCUGACGAAAUGUUAGUAAUAUUAUUCACAAAUUUUACAUAUAUGUGUUAUAGUUUAUAAAACCAGAUAAGAGAUAUGUCAAUUUUGUAAACAAUGUUACUAUCACUUUGUCGUAUGAAGAAAUGACCAAAAUAAAAGUUUUAGAUCUUGAUGAGUUAUUUAACUUUGUUGUUGAUGACUUUUUCAGUUGAUAUC
rnacentral:pre_miRNA from 1 species